UACGUAGGGUGCAAGCGUUGUCCGGAAUCACUGGGCGUAAAGGGCGCGUAGGCGGCUUCUCAAGCGUGUGGUGAAAGUCCGGGGCUCAACCCCGGAUCGGCCGUGCGGACUGGGGAGCUCGAGUUCUGUAGAGGCGGGUGGAAUUCCGGGUGUAGCGGUGGAAUGCGUAGAGAUCCGGAAGAACACCGGUGGCGAAGGCGGCCCGCUGGGCAGAGACUGACGCUGAGGCGCGACAGCGUGGGGAGCAAACAGG
rnacentral:rRNA from 1 species